GGCCAGAUCCAACAUCCAAAGACUGCUUGGCUGCAAACGCGCGGGCGCGAGGAGGAGAGCAGAUGGCCAUUGGUCAGUACGUAGGGCACCCGGCCGGCAUCGGAUAAAUGGCCCUGGAGGCGUUGGCCGUCCUUCUCAGGGGUCGAUCGGCCAGUGCAAACGCUCCAAGGACGACGAAGGACAGACACCGGCAGCGCCAUGUGCCGGGCUAUGGCGGCCACAGGUUGCUGCAUCGGCCAUGUGGUGCCCGCGUGCCGACGGGCCCCCUCCUUACCUGGCUCUGCCUCGCGCAUCGAUGGAUCCCGCUCGCUCGCCGUAUGCAAAUUAAAGGACGGAUCCGAUAUUGAUCAGGACGGCCGAUCGAGGCCCCGGCCCGCAGGAAUCCCCACUGCCUGCCUAGUGCUUGGAUAAGAAUCCAUGCAUCGCCGCCGCCUGUACCUGUGACUGUCAUCUGCUGGUUUUAUUUUAUUUUUAUUUGUC
rnacentral:lncRNA from 7 species